UUCUGUGGCCAUAUCACCCUGAAUGCGCCUGAUCUCAUCUGAUCUUGGAAGCUAAGCAGGGUUGGGCUUGGUUAGUACUUGGAUGGGACACCACUGGGAAUACUGGGUGCUUUUAAAA
rnacentral:rRNA from 1 species